rnacentral:rRNA from 1 species
UACAGAGGUCUCAAGCGUUGUUCGGAUUCAUUGGGCGUAAAGGGUGCGUAGGCGGGUCUUUAAGUCAGGGGUGAAAUCCUGGAGCUCAACUCCAGAACUGCCUUUGAUACUGAAGAUCUUGAGUUCGGGAGAGGUGAGUGGAACUGCGAGUGUAGAGGUGAAAUUCGUAGAUAUUCGCAAGAACACCGGUGGCGAAGGCGGCUCACUGGCCCGAUACUGACGCUGAGGCACGAAAGCGUGGGGAGCAAACAGG